rnacentral:rRNA from 1 species
GACCAGACUCCUACGGGAGGCAGCAGUGGGGAAUAUUGCACAAUGGGGGAAACCCUGAUGCAGCGACGCCGCGUGAGUGAAGAAGUAUUUCGGUAUGUAAAGCUCUAUCAGCAGGGAAGAAGAAAGACGGUACCUGACUAAGAGGCCCCGGCUAACUACGUGCCAGCAGCCGCGGUAAUACGUAGGGGGCAAGCGUUAUCCGGAUUUACUGGGUGUAAAGGGAGCGUAGACGGCUGUGCAAGUCUGAAGUGAAAGUCCAGGGCUCAACCCUGGGACUGCUUUGGAAACUGUGGAGCUAGAGUGCUGGAGAGGUAAGUGGAAUUCCUAGUGUAGCGGUGAAAUGCGUAGAUAUUAGGAGGAACACCAGUGGCGAAGGCGGCUUACUGGACAGUAACUGACGUUGAGGCUCGAAAGCGUGGGGAGCAAACAGGAUUAGAUACCCGUGUAC